rnacentral:rRNA from 1 species
AUUGAACGCUGGCGGCAGGCCUAACACAUGCAAGUCGAGCGAGACGCGGACGGGUGAGUAAUGUCUGGGACACUGCCUGAUGGAGGGGGAUAACUACUGGAAACGGUAGCUAAUACCGCAUACCAUCAGAUGUGCCCAGAUGGGAUUAGAUAGUAGGUGGGGUAAAGGCUCACCUAGGCGACGAUCCCUAGCUGGUGUGAGAGGAUGACAAGCCACACUGGAACUGAGACACGGUCCAGACUCCUCCGGGAGGCAGCAGUGGGGAAUAUUGCACAAUGGGCGCAAGCCUGAUGCAGCCAUGCCGCGUGUGUGAAGAAGGCCUUCGGGUUGUAAAGCACUUUCAGCGGGGAGGCGUUACUCGCAGAAGAAGCACCGGCUAACUCCGUGCCAGCAGCCGCGGUAAUAC